rnacentral:tRNA from 1 species
GUUUUAAUAAUUUAUAUAAAAUAUUGAUUUUGUAAGUCAAGAAAAAAGAUUUCUUUUUAAAACU